GGGUCAGUAGGUUGGUCGUGCCUCCGGUACGUACUGGUCUCACUGAUUCCUCCUUCCUGAAGAACCGUAAUGCCAUUAAUUUGGUGUUGCGAGGAAACAGGACUGUUACUUUGAAAAAAUUAGAGUGUUUAAAGCAAGCUAACGCUUGAAUACAUUAGCUUGGAAUAAUGAAAUAGGACGAUCGAUCCUAUUUUGUUGGUUUCUAGGAUUGACGUA
rnacentral:rRNA from 1 species